UAAUUGUGCCCACUUUGAUAUUCCUUUCAGAUACCUGUCCCACACUGAACUGGCCCCACUCAGAGCUCCCUUGAUCCCUAUGGAGCACUGCACCACUCGCUUCUUUGAGACAUGUGAUCUAGACAACGACAAAUACAUUGCUCUGGAGGAAUGGGCCAACUGCUUUGGCAUUAAGGAAAACGACAUUGACAAGGAUCUUGUCAUCUAAAUUUAGCAGCUUCUUCAUCUGUUAUGCACAAGUUGCGUUCUCCCAUUUUAACAAGUUGAAGAGUGUUUUUCUUUAUUUUAUCGGGGACAAGGUGCUAAUAUAGGUCUAAACAUAUACAUUAACGGUGCUAAAAAAAAGGAGACAGAAAGUUGAUAGUAGCUUAAUCUAUACCACUAGAUCACUUUGCUCACACCCUCAUUGUGCAUCUCUGUUGACCUUUUAAUUUGUUGAUACCAGUACAGUAAUUAAACAAAAAAUCUGUUCCAAUUUUCAACUAUUUAAGUUGACUCUACUUGAUAGACUCAAGACUAUUAAUCCCCUAAUUUCAAAGAAAGGCAAGAAAGAAAGAUAAACCAAAAAAUGUGUGGAGAGACUGGCUUUACAAAGUCAAGAGUUGCAAAUGUUUUAUGAAAGUUUAAGAAACUUGGAUUUUAUAUGAUAGUGCAGUGGGAAUGGCAGGGGAGGAGAUGGGACAGGACUGAAAAGUCAGAAAGGAGAAUUUAUAAAUUUGACAGUUCUUGAAUGUAACAGUAAUUGGGCACAAACUCAAAAUAACAUAAGCAGAAAAAAACCUGAAGUGUUGGAAAGUUUCAGAUCUUGUAACCCACUCAUCCUCCCACCCUUUACAAAUAAAAAGUUAAAAACG